UCAGCGUGUAGCGCCGAUUUGAGCGAGCAGCUUGCGGGCGCUUAACAAAUGCAGCUAAAGCGGUCGGGGCCCGCCCCGU
rnacentral:ncRNA from 1 species